rnacentral:rRNA from 1 species
AGAACGAAUGCUGGCGGCAUGCCUAACACAUGCAAGUCGAACGAGACCUUCGGGUCUAGUGGCGCACGGGUGCGUAACGCGUGGGAAUCUGCCCUUGGGUUCGGGAUAACAGUUGGAAACGACUGCUAAUACCGGAUGAUGUCCUCGGACCAAAGAUUUAUCGCCCAGGGAUGAGCCCGCGUAAGAUUAGCUAGUUGGUGGGGUAAAAGCCUACCAAGGCGACGAUCUUUAGCUGGUCUGAGAGGAUGAUCAGCCACACUGGGACUGAGACACGGCCCAGACUCCGUACGGGAGCAGCAGUGGGAAUAUGGACAAGUGGGCGAAAGCCUGAUCCAGCAAUGCCGCGUGAGUGAUGAAGGCCUUAGGUUGUAAAGCUUACGUUUUACCGGAUGAUAAUGACAGUACCGGAGAAGUAACGACCCGCUAACGUCCGUGCCGAGCGACGCCGAC